UAGCUGGAACCUCACGGGCUUUAUAUCCCAUCCAUGGAUGUGCUCGGGGCUACAAACUCGACGCCCAAGCCGCCGCAAGGCACGACCCAAGUGAAGUCGGUAGUAGAGGCAGUAUUCACCUGGCGGGAAGCGAAACUCUAUCUCGCCAGCUAUCUCCAACCACCAAAUUUGCUGAAGGUAAGCAACCGAGCGGAAUCUAGAUUCUUCUGUAGGAAUAUAAUUCCAGUAUCUUCUGUCAUCG
rnacentral:misc_RNA from 1 species